CUAUUUCUUUUAUUUAUUUUAUAUACCAAUGCCCUAGCCCCUUUCACUCUCACGACAUUCACAAACUGUCUCUCUCGCUCUCUUACUCGCCAUAGUCGUAGCUCCAGUGGUAUGAAUCUCUGUCUCUCGGUCUCUCACUUUCUUUAUCAUGCUCUGUUUCUUUGAUCUUCAAUUUCAUUUUCCGACUCAAAAUUUGAUUUUCUAAGUUGAAUUUUCUCGAGAAAGAUGCAGCCUCUACGAGAUUUGAUCGACGAUGAAACAUAAAUUGUUGAGUGAAAUUAGGUUAAUUGUUUGAUCGGGAAAAGAGAAAAAAACAAAGAGAUGAGAAGCACGAACAACAUCGCUCUAGAUACGAUAAGUGCUGCUGUGACUGCGAUUGCGUCAGCUGGGACUCAAGCUUCAGUUCAGUCAUCCUCAUCAUCUUGAAAUCGAGAAGGCAAAGAAGCUGCUGAAAGAAUUUCACCUGAAGAUGGUGGAGAGGGCUAUGCAACAUACAUCUGCAGUUUCAUCAUCUUC